rnacentral:rRNA from 1 species
CAGCAGCCGCGGGAAUACGAAGGGUGCAAGCGUUAAUCGGAAUUACUGGGCGUAAAGCGUGCGUAGGUGGUGGUUUAAGUCCGUUGUGAAAGCCCUGGGCUCAACCUGGGAAUUGCAGUGGAUACUGGGUCACUAGAGUGUGGUAGAGGAUAGUGGAAUUUCCGGUGUAGCAGUGAAAUGCGUAGAGAUCGGAAGGAACAUCUGUGGCGAAGGCGGCCAUCUGGGACAACACUGACGCUGAGGCACGAAAGCGUGGGGAGCAAACAGGAUUAGAUACCCCGGUAGUCCCUGUCUCUUAUAC